UUCCAUCCCGGGGAGGUCGGUGUGUAAGACAGUGGAGGACUACUGCGCAUGUGUGACUGGAAGUUGGCAGGCCCUAGGAGUAGGUAACCCAAAACACUCGAAGAGCCACUUGGACCCAUUUACAACGGAAAACAUCUUUUAUGACUCAUGGACUUCUACUCCCAGAAUUCCUGAGUCAGCAUAGCUGGGCUAGCUAGCUCUCUCCUGCCCUUCCUGCUUCCUGCAGAGACGCAGCAAAAGGAGGAGUGCCAUCCAGUAAGCUUUUUAGCUCAUCGGAGAACACUCUGUGCUUUUUAGGAUUGAGAGAACAGAGGGCGACUUGGGCUUCUACUGGAUUACAAGUCCCAUCAGCC